UACGGAGGGUGCAAGCGUUAUCCGGAUUCACUGGGUUUAAAGGGUGCGUAGGUGGGCUGGUAAGUCAGUGGUGAAAUCUCCAGGCUUAACUUGGAAACUGCCAUUGAUACUAUCAGUCUUGAAUACCGUGGAGGUCAGCGGAAUAUGUCAUGUAGCGGUGAAAUGCUUAGAUAUGACAUAGAACACCAAUUGCGAAGGCAGCUCACUACCCAGAUAUUGACACUGAGGCACGAAAGCGUGGGGAUCAAACAGG
rnacentral:rRNA from 1 species